AUGGAGAAAAAACAGAGGGCAAAACGGAAAACCAAAGCGUGGAGAGAAGGAGUCCCAACACAGUUCCAAACGGCACCAAUGGCCACACGCCUCUCCUCCCGCCUCCUCAUCCAUUUACCGGCGCCCGCCGCCGCCGUCACCACAACUUCUCCCCGGCUACGGAAGCCCGCCGCAGCACGCACCGCGUCCUACCGGAGGCGCAGGCCACGCCUCGCCGUCUCGGCAGGGGCGGCGCCGAGCGGCGGCGCGGUCGCCCCGGCGGCACCGGCCGGAGAGAACAGGGACGCCGGGCUGACGCCGGCCGAGGCGCAGCGGCUGGUGGAGUUCCUGAAGGCCGACCUGCCGCACCUGUUCGACAACGUGGGCAUCGACCGCUCCGCGUACGACGACCGCGUCCGCUUCCGCGACCCCAUCACCCGCUACGACGACAUCGACGGCUACCUCGCCAACAUCAGCCUCCUCAAGGUCAUCUUCCGCCCCGACUUCUACCUGCACGACGCCAAGCAGACAGGGCCGUAUGAGAUUACCACGAGGUGGACCAUGGUCAUGAAGUUCUCUCUCCUGCCGUGGAAGCCGGAGCUGGUCUUCACCGGGUUGUCGAUCAUGGGCGUCAACCCACAGAAUCUCAAGUUCUGCAGCCAUGUGGAUAUUUGGGAUUCAAUACAGAACAAUGAAUACUUCUCCUUGGAAGGAUUGGUUGAAGUUUUCAAGCAGCUACGAUACUACAAGACCCCAGAUAUAGAAACACCAAGCUACCUCGUUCUGAAAAAGACUGCAAAUUAUGAGGUCAGGAAGUAUCCACCAUUUUCAGUAGCUGAAGCAAAAGGAGAAAAACUAACAGGAUCAUCAGGUUUUAACAAUGUUACUGGGUAUAUAUUUGGCAAGAAUGCUUCAUCUGAAAAGAUUGCAAUGACUACACCUGUCUUCACUCAGGCUUCUGAUGACAAACUCUCAGACGUAUCCAUACAGAUAGCUCUGCCAAUGAACAAAGACUUGAACAGUUUACCAGCUCCAAAUACAGAAGCGGUUACCUUGCGAAAGGUUGAAGGAGGCAUUGCUGCAGUGAAAAAAUUCAGUGGGCGACCAGAAGAGGAAAUUGUGGCCAAGAAAGAGAAGGAGCUACGCUCCCAGCUACUCAAAGAUGGGUUGAAGCCUCGAAAAGGCUGUUUGCUUGCACGUUACAAUGAUCCUAGCACAAAGGACUUUAUGAAGAGGAACGAGGUGCUUAUAUGGCUAAACGAUUUCGCACUGGAGUAG
rnacentral:rRNA from 1 species